UACAGUACCAGUACAAGACCAGCACUUAAAACUAGAAAAAUGAAUAAAUAAAUACGUGGCCGAAGUGCGUUCAUGUCUGUGCUCACCCAAAGUUAUGCAACACUCACAGAAAACGCCGAUAGUGUGAGCCAAAGCACUCCAUAAUAAUAGUAAUAAUAAUAAUAAGAAUAAUAAAUUUAAUUUGUAAUGCACUUUACAUUUACAAAAAUCUAAAAGUGCUACAGUACACAGUAAAAAAAGAGCAGCAACAAUAAAAAAGCAAUAGAAUGACAGUCACAGAUUGGCAUAAAAAAAAGAAUUAAAAAAAUUAAAAACAUAGAGUUGCAAUGUAAGAGGCAAGGUAGUAAAAGCAUAGAGGAAAGUUAACCAAAGGCUAUAUUAAAAAGGUAGGUCUUUAGGGCUCUUUUGAAGAGGUUGUUCACACUGCUAGAUGUUCCUCCUCCAAAGCUGCUCUCUGCCUCCAUCAUUGUUUACUUUACUCUUGAAGCACGUAGGAAGACCCGAGCAUGAAUCCGAGCGCUUUAUUCGCCUAUCAGGGGCAGACAGUUAAGGUGAUUUGAUUCGCCACGACUCCAGAAAUGAUUGAAAAACUACAGAAUGUCACAAAAUUACGUUUCCUCGCUGCUGGCUUGAAGGGUAGAAAUGCGCAGCCGCGCUCCCAGCUGACAGGAAGUCAAACCACUGUUGUAGUUCUUUUGUGUUGCUAGCGCGGUCAAGAGUGUUGGCUCUCACUGAGAGAUGACUACAAAAAUGGACGCACCUGUUCAUCUGGUUGUUAAACACGGCUGAAAAUGAUCCAUCUUUUAAUGUUGUUCCCGCUCCUGCCCACUCCCGUUGCCUUUUUCCCCGUCCCGUCCCGAUCAAGGGAUUAAUUAAAAAAUGACUCCCAUCCCGUGGGAUUCCCGCGGGAAUCACGUGACCCACGGGAAUUCCCGAAAAAUGUCAUCCUCUACAGGGAAGGUCCCGGAGCAGAUGAAACAGGUGCCGGAGCGGCUGAAAUAGGUCCCGGAUCCGAUCAAAAGAGGUCCCGGAUCGCGCUCCGACUUGCUCCGGCACAAAUUAAGCACUGCUUACAAUGAUCCCCUCACGUGUGUAACCCAGGUAACCCGCAACGGCGGGAGACGCUGGACACGAAGAGGGCACGUAAAGCGGCGCCAUGUCGCAAAAUCGAAAGAGAAAUGCAAGCCUACAUGUCAACGCAUCCUUUUCUUUGUAAGAAAAUAUUGUUUUCUUUCCCGUUCGACACCAAAUACACUUACUGAAUGUGAAAUUAUUGUUGUUGUUACUAUGAAUCAUCUGAUGGCACAAGCCCUAUGGAUAAAAUACAGCCUAUCGCCCGAAACGAUAAAAAUAAAAAUGGCACGAUAGACAUUUUCUAUCGUGCCCACGAUAUGUAUCGUCCUAUCGCCCAGCACUAGUAUAUACUAUGGACAACUUGGCUUGCUUUUUCACAUAUAGUAGAGGCUCAACGGUCACUGAAUUAUAUCCAAAUUAGCAGGAAAUAGACCACAGAAAGGCAAAACAACCUGUUGUAAGCAUGUUGUUUCCUCUAUACUACACUGCUGCCACGCUCCAAAUACCAUAAUACGCUCAAUACGGAUACGGAAUGUUUUUCAGCUCUACAGUAACUACAUGUCAACAUCGCAACCAGGUGGAGAAAAAUUUUUGUUCUGUGUAAUAAAUUUCUAAAGUUUGUCCACAGCUCCAUAGGGAUUGCUGGAGGAGGCCUAUCCUAUCAUACCUUUACUGCAGCCUGUCACCAGAGGGUGCUGUUCUCAGGUUGGCUUCACCCAGCGAGGAGGCACACGACGUCCAUUCUAUAUACAGUCUAUGGUGAUGAUGCGAUUUACAUCAGACAAGACUCCUCUGCUUUGUGCCGGGGUUCAGUCUCACCCUGUCUGGUUUUAGUUUUACCAACCACCAGUAACUAAAUCAGAAAAUAAGAGUUCGUGAUCGAAUAUUAUAUCACCCAUAAAAAUGUAUGUGGAACUUUUCAGCUCCUCAGAGAUGAGUUUUAUUCAAGAAAUGAUGUAGGAAAGUAUUAACUAUUAAUGACAUGUGGUCACAAGUCGUGGUCCUAUAAAUAGAGGGUAAUAAGAGGGGGGGGGGGGGGGGGCAGUCGGAUGAACCAGUUGCAGCUUUUUUCUGCUUCAUUCAGCCUCAUUCAUUAAGCCCACAGCAAGCGAAAGUCAGCUAAAUGCCCAAAACAUCGAUGUAAACUGGGUCAGAAAAACUCACUGAGGCCUGAGGCCAUCAGUGUUGACCAGCGCUCACACACACAAACACACACACGCACACAAAAACACAACUAUCCGUCACAGUGGUCUUCAUUGUAAAGCUAGGUCAGGGUAGGAGUCAUGUUAGUGCAUGUUUGUGUCACUGUUGUGGUCAGAUUGAUCGGUCUUCAUGGUCCAUUUGUUUGUUUGCGUCAGUAUCGAGUGCAAGGGGCUAAUGUGUUUUAACAUGAACAUGAAAAAACACUGAAAAUCUGCAAAGCGCUGCAGCGACUGACCUCAGGCAGGGGUAACAUGUCGACAGAGCUGUACAGGAUUAUGAGUUCAUGUCUUUUUGCAGGCUUUUGGCCCUUACCGAAGAAGUUAAGAGUCCCUGUGUUGCAUGUAUGAGCGAAUGAGCUGUGUACUGAUGGAAAAGCCGAUAACAAAGCAGAACAUGCACAUGCUUCCACACCCUCAGCACCUACAGUCACACAGACAUACAUGAGCAAACAGAUGCACACAAAGGCUAUCAGCUGAUGCCCUUUCCGUCACACUGAAAAGUAAGACCCACACAAACAUCUGUAAAGUUGCAGUUUCCUUUUGUUGUAGAUAAUGGGUUAAAAAUUAGGUACAUGCCGUUCCACACCAAAUAAACAUGUUUUCUGGAGUCCUCACUCUCUGAAGUCAUCGGGGUCAUUACUGCAGCGGUUGCAGAUAAGAACAGAGUGAUAGCCCACUUUUAUGAAUGGCUUAAUUCUCCCAGGAGUUACCUAGUCUAAAUCCAAAGGUCUCUGUGUUGGAUUACCAACCAUAAUCUUGCACUGCAGCAAGAUGCAGCGACCUCAAGGGGUUAUUACCGCAGGAUUUAGCAUGUCUGUCCUGUGAAUGUAGCUUUGUAAACAUUAACUUAUGCAUGAAUGGAGUGUAUGUGCUCAAUGAAAGAGAUUAUAAGGAGUCUAUAAGGAGGCAGUUUGUGCGCACUGUAAUUCUCAAACUGCAGGAGCAGCACAUGAAUGAUUUUUGCAGAGGUGAGCAUGAACACACACGGUGUGUCAGGACUCGUACAUUCAAAUCUUUGCAGUCAAGCAAAUUGCAUGGAUGCAGUCAAGGAAAGGUCCAUCAAGAUUCAGCGCCACAUUGACCAAAAUCUGAUCAGGAAGAAGGACUGAAAACACACAUGCAUGUGCAUCAAGGCUAACCUGGAAUUUUUUGGUUCUUGUCUACUUUUGCGCAUUAGUCUUUUUACCUGAUACCAAAAAAAUUCAGGUGCACUGCUGGACCGUUCCCUCCUGUGUGUUUAUCUGAGAGCUCAGCAGUUUAGACAGUGUUCAGCAGAUGACUGUCAAACCUCAGCUUAGGAUAUAACGCCAUCUUGUGGACAUUAGUGUUCACAACUUUUGAAGUAUUCUCAGCCGUCUGAUCUAAGUAGUAAAGUAUCUGAAAAGCACAGUUACAAAAGUCAUCUUCAUUUGGUGUUUAAUAGACAUGAUAAAGCUUUGAGUAAAUUGUAUAUGUGAGUUCAGACCGAGGUGUGUAACAGGCCUCCAAUCGCUGUUCAAGAGGCUGGGAGAAGCAUUGGAGGAUCUCUUCUAUGGCUGACGGCUGAAUUAAGGAGAUGUCCAAGCUCUGAGGCAACGUGAGACGUUGGAGACGGCAGCGUGAAGAACUGAUGACAACAGCUUUCAGAGGUACUAGAGGCUGUUCUACUGUCAUUUUACUGCAGUGUACAGGCACUGUUCAGCAUUUAUUUAAUUAAAAAUUGAAAAUCUUUAUGUGCAAAUAUCUCAUGUCACAACGUGGACACCUGCGGCUUACAGAGAAGUGCGGUUUACACAUGUACAUUUUUUUGUUUUAAUUUAGUGCGUGUGGCUUAUACUCAGGUGCGUCCAAUAGUCAGGAAAUUACGGUAUGUAAAAUCUCACCAAUCAGAGCAUCUUUGGGGAUCAACUGCACCAUAUAUAAUCAUGUUAUGCUGUAUUUGGCGAGUCCUCUCCGGACAAACUCAUUGGUUGUCUACUACAAGAAGAAAUGACUUGAAAUGACUAAAGAUGUUCUGACGUGACUCAUUUUGUACUUGCUUAAACAAAAAUAACCAUUUCAACCAACCCUUUAGUCCAAGACCACAUAAAAAAAAACAGUCAACAUUGACCAUAACAUAUUCAGUCCACAUAAUCACAAAUCAACCUGUAGGUAAACAAUGAGCAAAACCCAACUCUACUAUGAGAUGACGUCUGUCAUUGGUGCUGGUUUACAUCCUGGUUGUAGAGCAUUAAGGCAUCAACUGGAGGUACAGUCAUGUAUAGUGGUGUGAUAAACUGUAGCUUAUACAAAAAAAAAAUACAAAAAUAUUAACUUCAUUAAACUAUUCAGUAAAUGUGGUGCUGAAUAGCAAGGCUUUUAUAUUGUUAGUCGACAAAACACGUCCCGCUACACUUGACCAAUCUGCUGGAAAUAUGAGCGACCUUUGACUCUGAGCUCUGCUUUAAAAUUCAAAUCAAAGAUUAUGAAGUCUAACUUCUCCCUGUGAGGCAUCACUGCACCAGUUAAACAGUUUCAAGCACAUGGGGACUUCAAAUAAGUCAUCUUAGCGUUUAUCUUAACAUUAAAUCCAGUGUGGUCAUGUGGCAAACAGGAUCGGUGUGAUUUUUGUUGUGUAACUAUUUAAAAGUUCAAGUUCAAGUUUGAUCUAAACCUUUGAGAGGGUUAAAAUUGUGAGAACUUGAUUUUUGAGAGACGAGACUGGCUGAUGGCACUAAAGCUGAUGACCUAAAUGCAGAUGGCGAUAGGAGGUCUGUUGCAGUCUGAUUCUCCAAUCAGGGAUGAAAUCAGAUGGAACAGCUAGUAUGUAGCCAUGUCAUUGUCUUAAGUGGCUAUCAUAAAAUCUCUGUAGUGGAAAACCUGACAAUGGGUAGUGAGCACAAAAAGUCUGAUUUCUAUCGCAUUGGCAUGUCACUCAUUUUUCAUGAACCAAUUUUCCUCCACAGAAGAACCACGUUGUAAACGAACACAUGAUCUGGAUCCUCAAAUCAUCUUUUUGCACAGUACGUUGGCUAGAACAAGUAGUAACUAAAGUGUGUCAACGUAACAGGAAAAGCACCACUGAGUAUCAAACACUGAGAAAUUCAGUUAUUUCAACUCGUUCAUCAAAUAUGAGCACACCAGGAUAACCUUGAAUAACUCUCCUGUCCUUAAUCCUUCUCUGUGAACGUGUCCUGAAAUGACUCCAACCUUUGAAUACCAUCAUGUGAAUACCAUCACUCAUAUUUUAGCAAUGCUGCUGAAACUGUCCAUGUGGACGGGGAGGAAGCUCUUCUGAUUUAGAUAAGCAUUGAGAAACAUUUUUACUAGUACAAAGAUAUUCUACACAAGUAGAAGUGCACCAAUUUUAAUGAAAUUUCACUCAAUUACAGGUAAAAAUAGUAGGGGUGUAACAAUUCAGCUACAACA
rnacentral:lncRNA from 1 species